GAUCCUGGCUCAGGAUGAACGCUAGCUACCGGCUUAACACAUGCAAGUCGAGGGGCAGCAUGUUGGUUGCUUGCAACCAACGAUGGCGACCGGCGCACGGGUGAGUAACGCGUAUCCAACCUUCCGCAUACUCGGGAAUAGCCUUUCGAAAGAAAGAUUAAUGCCCGAUGGUUUCCCGAAUCCGCAUGAGAACGGGAAUAAAGAUUCAUCGGUAUGCGAUGGGGAUGCGUCCCAUUAG
rnacentral:rRNA from 1 species